AACACAUGCAAGUCGAGCGCGAAUAGGGGCAACCCUUAGUAGAGCGGCGCACGGGUGCGUAACACGUGGAUAAUCUGCCUGGAUGCCUGGGAUAACCAGUCGAAAGAUUGGCUAAUACCGGAUAAGCCCACGGUUUCUUCGGAGACUGAGGGAAAAGAUGGCCUCUGUAUACAAGCUAUCACAACCAGAUGAGUCCGCGGCCCAUCAGCUAGUUGGCGGGGUAAUGGCCCACCAAGGCAACGACGGGUAGCUGGUCUGAGAGGACGAUCAGCCACACUGGAACUGAGACACGGUCCAGACUCCUACGGGAGGCAGCAGUGGGGAAUUUUGCGCAAUGGGCGAAAGCCUGACGCAGCAACGCCGCGUGUGUGAUGAAGGUCUUUGGAUUGUAAAGCACUUUCGACCGGGACGAAACCGUAAAGCCUAAUACGCUUUGCCUUGACGGUACCGGGAGAAGAAGCACCGGCUAACUCUGUGCCAGCAGCCGCGGUAAUACAGAGGGUGCAAGCGUUGUUCGGAAUUAUUGGGCGUAAAGCGCGUGUAGGCGGCUUUGCAAGUCGGGUGUGAAAGCCCUCAGCUCAACUGAGGAAGUGCGCCCGAAACUGCAGAGCUUGAGUGCCGGAGAGGGUGGC
rnacentral:rRNA from 1 species